rnacentral:rRNA from 1 species
AGUGGCAGACGGGUGAGUAACACGUGGUCAACCGGCCUUUGUGAGGGGGAUAACUAGCCGAAAGGUUAGCUAAUACCGCAUACGAUCGCUCUGGGGCAUCCCUAAGCGAUGAAAGGAGCAAUCCGCACAAAGAGGGGACUGCGUCCCAUUAGUUAGUUGGUGGGGUAACGGCCUACCAAGACUCCGAUGGGUAGCUGGCUUGAGAGAGCGACCAGCCACACUGGAACUGAGAAACGGUCCAGACUCCUACGGGAGGCAGCAGUGAGGAAUUUUCCGCAAUGGGCGAAAGCCUGACGGAGCGACGCCGCGUGUGAGAAGAAGGCCUUCGGGUCGUAAACCACUGUCGAAGGGGACGAUAUUGACGGUACCCUUGGAGGAAGCCCCGGCUAACUACGUGCCAGCAGCCGCGGUAAGACGUAGGGGGCAAGCGUUGUCCGGAAUUAUUGGGCGUAAAGCGCUCGUAGGUGGAUCGAAAAGUCUGCAAGCAAAGACCCGGGCUCAACUCGGGAAUCCGUGUGGA